rnacentral:piRNA from 1 species
UGCAGUAUCGCCACAUUUGACAAUGCC